rnacentral:misc_RNA from 1 species
AAAAAAAAAAAAAAAGAAAGAGAAUAUUGAUUGUUAUUUACCUUACUCUAUAAAAUGCAUGCAUCUUGAGCUAUAUAUGCCUUUUACUUGCAGAGAAGGAAAGAAAGAAACAUAAAAUUUUCAUUUCAACAGUGCCAUACUACUUUCUGGCUUGUCUUUUUUUGGUCCUUUCUAUUUUUCUCCAACCAAACGAAGCAUUAAUUAUUUACAAUUUUACAUCCAUUAUCAAUGUGUGCACAAUGCUCAGAAGAAACCCUGGAGCUGAAAUAGGGAUUGUCUUUUAUCUAGAAACAUAAAAGAAUAAAGCAUCAGAAAGCUGUAUCCAUUUCCUUGCUAAUCUGAUUAUGUCACUGGAGAAUGGUGAGAAGUGAUCAUAAUUACUUGCCAUUUGGUGGAAAGUGGUUUGCGUAAGAGUGAAGCUAUCUACACAUGUAUGGAACAACAAAGCUGGCAGUAACUAAACCAACAUUUUUAUGUUUUGUAGCAAUUGCAGCUUGCUGGAUUCCUUUUUCUAUUUGUAAUUUCAGUCAGAUUAAGCUGUUACCCUGAAUUUUUUUUUUAACCGUUAGCCUUCAUAGUUACCUACUGCAAAAUAUAUAUAUAUAUCUUAUGAAAACAAAAAGUAAAAGUUUACAUUGACCCAUUUUUCACUGGGAUGAAUAUUAAAUUGAGCUUACCGAUACAACUUGAGCAGGAUCUCCUUGAGUGCAGGUGAUGCCCUCUCAAAGCAAGCCAUGCUGAGCUCUCUUCUCAUCUCCCAGCCCCCACUUGGUGGUGGAGACAAACUUAGAUAUACGACUGUAAGUUGAGAAUGGAUUUGUCCAUGCCUUGAGUAUAGAUUAAGUUUGACGGUUGCAAUUAUUUUAAGGUGCCUUGUAAGCAAUUACUUCUGUCAGUGUCACUAACUUUUGUUUGUAAAUGACGCCAAAUGGAUCAGCCACCCGUCCAUUGCCCAUAUCCCCCCUAUUGUUAGAGUUUGUUUUUGUGUUUUGGACAAGUGUGGUUUUGCAAUUGAAGCUGAUUUGGAUUCUUGUUUCCCAUGUUUUUGUGUGAAAUUUUUAUUUUAUUUAUUUAGAUUUUUU